rnacentral:rRNA from 1 species
GAUGAACGCUGGCGGCGUGCUUAACACAUGCAAGUCGAACGGGAUCCAAGGGGUGCUUGCACUUUUUGGUGAGAGUGGCGAACGGGUGAGUAACACGUGAGUAACCUGUCCUUUUCUUUGGGAUAAGCAUUCGAAAGGGUGUUUAAUACCUUAUGUUCUGUCUGCCUCGCAUGGGGUGGGUGGGAAAGGCUUUGGCCGGAUUUGGGUGGGCUCGCGGUCUAUCAGCUUGUUGGUGGGGUGAUGGCUUACCAAGGCUUUGACGGGUAGCCGGCCUGAGAGGGUGGUCGGUCACAUGGGGACUGAGAUACGGCCCAGACUCCUGCGGGAGGCAGCAGUGGGGGAUAUUGCACAAUGGGCGAAAGCCUGAUGCAGCGACGCCGCGUGGGGGAUGUAGGCCUUCGGGUUGUAAACUUCUUUUGCUCUGAACAAGGCAUGCCAGUGGGUGUGUUGAGUGUAGGGGUUGAUUAGCGCCGGCUAACUACGUG